CGCCUGGGGAGUGCGGCCGCAAGGUUAAAACUCAAAUGAAUUGACGGGGGCCCGCACAAGCGGUGGAGCAUGUGGUUUAAUUCGACGCAACGCGAAGAGCCUUACCUGGCCUUGACAUGCAGAGAACUUUCCAGAGAUGGAUUGGUGCCUUCGGGAACUCUGACACAGGUGCUGCAUGGCCGUCGUCAGCUCGUGUCGUGAGAUGUUGGGUUAAGUCCCGUAACGAGCGCAACCCCUAUCCCUAGUUGCUAGCAGUUCGGCUGAGAACUCUAGGGAGACUGCCGGUGACAAACCGGAGGAAGGUGGGGAUGACGUCAGGUCAUCAUGGCCCUUACGGCCAGGGCUACACACGUGCUACAAUGGCGCGCACAGAGGGCUGCAAACCCGCGAGGGGGAGCCAAUCUCACAAAACGCGUCGUAGUCCGGAUCGCAGUCUGCAACUCGACUGCGUGAAGUCGGAAUCGCUAGUAAUCGUGAAUCAGAAUGUCACGGUGAAUACGUUCCCGGGCCUUGUACACACCGCCCGUCACACCAUGGGAGUGGAUUGCACCAGAAGUGGUUAGUCUAACCUUCGGGAGGACGAUCACCACGGUGUGGUUCAUGACUGGGGUGAAGUCGUAACAAGGUAACCGUA
rnacentral:rRNA from 1 species